AACGAACGCUGGCGGCAUGCCUAACACAUGCCAGUCGAACGAUGCCUUCGGGCAUAGUGGCGCACGGGUGCGUAACGCGUGGGAAUCUGCCUUUCGGUUCGGAAUAACUCAGGGAAACUUGAGCUAAUACCGGAUAACGUCGCAAGACCAAAGAUUUAUCACCGAAAGAUGAGCCCGCGUAGGAUUAGCUAGUUGGUGAGGUAAAGGCUCACCAGGGCGACGAUCCUUAGCUGGUCUGAGAGGAUGAUCAGCCACACUGGGACUGAGACACGGCCCAGACUCCUACGGGAGGCAGCAGUGGGGAAUAUUGGACAAUGGGCGAAAGCCUGAUCCAGCAAUGCCGCGUGAGUGAUGAAGGCCUUAGGGUUGUAAAGCUCUUUUACCCGGGAAGAUAAUGACGGUACCGGGAGAAUAAGCCCCGGCUAACUCCGUG
rnacentral:rRNA from 1 species